CAGACAUCGGACUGCCCGGCAGUUCCCCUGCCAGAGAGGGAGGACACGGCCAAGGGCUGACCCAUGUGCCAAAUGCUGCAGGUUGGCCCAGCAAGAUGAGAGCUGAAAACUGACUGCUGAGUUCAGCUGUGGGGACCUCGGUGCUGGUGAUUGUGCCCAGGGUUGUCAGAUGGGGGAGCACUGGAUGAGAAGCAAUGACCCAUGAUGGAUUGGGAGUGUUUUUUAAAACCAGUCUUUCACCACAAAUAGUUUGAGAAGCACCACUGAGGACGGCAGAGGACCUUCAAAGUUUUAUGACAAAUGACAUGUGACAAGAUUCUACUUAUCCUUGAUGUAACGCUUGGGGUAGAUUGAAGUGGAGAGAAAAUGGAGAAAGAGACACCAAGUGGGAGGCUCCCAGGGCUGUCUGGGUGGGAGCCAAUAAAGGCCAGUGGGAGCAGAGAUCAAUAUUCUGUUAUAACCUAAAUGGGAAAAGAAUUUGAAAAAGAAUAGAUACAUGUAUAUGUAUAACUGAAUCACUUUGCUGUACACCUGAAACUAACACAACAUUGUUAAUCAACUACACUCCAAUAUAAAAUAAACAUUUAAAUGAUGAAGUCAUAAAAAAAUAAAAAAUUUAAAAUUUAAAAGACAAACAAAAACAAACUACUCACAAGACUAUCACCUGGAGAUUCUUUUAACUAAUGGAAAGUAUUUCACUCUGUGAGUAUACCAAAACACUUCUCACUAGACUCCUACUGAUGAUAUCCAUUGAAUUGUUACUGUUUUUAAAAAUAAUAAUGGGGACUUCCCUGGUGGCACAGUGGUUAAGAAUCCACCUGCCAAAGCAGGGGACAUGGGUUCGAUCCCUGGUCCAGGAAGAUCCCACAUGCCACGGAGCAACUAAGCCCACGAGCCAAAACUACUGAGCCCACGCACCGCAACUACUGAAGCCCCUGCACUCUAGGGCCCACGUAGUGCAACUACUUAAGCCCAUGCGCCUACAGCCCAUGCUCCACAGCAAGAGAAGCCACUGCAAUGAGAAGCCCACGCACCGCGAUGAAGAGUAGCCCCUGCUCACUGCAACUAGAGAAAGCCCACGUGCAGCAACAAAGACCCAAUGCAGCCAAAAAAAAAAAAGUGAUAAUAAUAAUAAUAAUGUAUGAUGCAGUGAUGUAUAUUCAUGUACACCAAGUGUUGCCCG